AUGCUCUCCUUCGUGUGUACAUGUGUGUAUGUGAGAGAGACAGGCAGACAGACUCUUCUCCCUGGACCCGGAUCUUCUGAUCUCUGGGAUCAGACCCAGAGAAGAGGUUGCCAGGCCCGCCAGGGGAAGGAGACGAAGCUUCCCUGGAGAAAGAAACAUUCCCGGGAGGCUGAUCACCCACCUGCCCACCCCACGGGGGCCGGGUGUGCUUGCCAGAGGCCCAGAUUCCUAGUCAGGCCCCUCUCAUGUACUGAGGGAGAGGCUGCAAGGUUGUGUGUGCUACACACGUACACGUAUGUGUAUGGUGGAAAAGGGACCAAGAGAAACUGUAAUGUGUGCCUGCCAAUUGUGUGCAUCCCCAACAGAAGUGUGAGUUUGUGUUCCAGGAGGAGGAAGCGAUGCGUGUGUGUGUGUGUGUGUGUGUGUGUGUGUGUUGGGGGGUGCAUUCUUUUAGACCUGUGCCCCCCCUCCCCCAGCAGCCCCAGCUUCCUCGCAACCUCCAGCACCUGUCCCUCCGGGGCUACACGCCGGGCGCAGCCCUCGCGGAUACACUCAGUGACACACGCUUCCUCCUCCCCGAACACCACCAGCUGCCUCCGAAGCUUGUGUUCGUGUCGGAAAGCGGGCUGGGGUGGGGGCAGGACACGAACCGUCUCACCAAUGAAGCCGGUUCCCAGCCGGCGUCCUCGCCCCCUCCCUGCCGGCGCCUUCGCUGCCCCUCCCCCCCCAAGUCGCCGCCGUCCGGCUCCCCGCCCCGCACUCGCCCCCGCGCCCCCCGAGCCGCUCCCCGCCGGCCCCCGACCUGGGGCUCUCGGCGCGGGCCUCCGGCAGGGGGGCCCGACAGCGCGGGGCGGCCGGGGCAGAGCCCGGGGGAGCGGCGGCCCGAGCCCCGGAGGCCGGGACCGCGGGGGGAGGGAGGCCCGGAGGGAAGAGGGAGGGAAGGAGGAGGGCGGGCGAGCCGGAGCCGGAGCCGGAGCCGGAGCCGGAGCCGAGCCCGAGCCCGAGCCGAGCCGAGCCGAGCCGAGCCCGAGCCGGCGGGAGCCCGGGCGAGCCGCUCGGGAGCGCGGUCCCCAUGGCAGUGCCGGGCGCGGCCAGAGGUAA
rnacentral:lncRNA from 1 species